rnacentral:rRNA from 1 species
UACGUAGGGUGCAAGCGUUUAAUCGGAAUUACUGGGCGUAAAAGCGUGCGUAGACGGUUAUGUAAGUCAGAUGUGAAAGCCCCGGGCUCAACCUGGGAAUUGCAUUUGAGACUGCAUAGCUAGGGUGCGGAAGAGGGAAGCGGAAUUUCCGGUGUAGCGGUGAAAUGCGUAGAUAUCGGAAGGAACACCAGUGGGCGAAAGCGGCUUCCCUGGUCCAGCACCGACGUUCAGGCACGAAAGCGUGGGGAGCAAACAGG